AUGGGGAAGAGCACUUGCUGAGCUCACAGAGGACCCGAGUUCGGUUCCCAGAAUCCAUGUUGGAGUUCAUAGCAACCUGUAACCCCACUUCCAGGGGCUCCGUCGACUUGGCCUCAGUAGGCAUCAAAUUCAAGAGGGCGCGCGCGCACGAGCACACACACACACACACACACACACACACACACACACACACACACACACACAGACCUGCUUCUUUCCCUAUGGGGGGAUCCCAUGGCCUGUCUCUCUAUAGGCAAGUUCUCAGAUGCAAGUACCAACCACGGGCAAAAUUUGGAUCCAGUGCCAUUGUUUUCUUCCCUUGACAAGAACCCAAAGGUCACCAAAAGUUGGCAUCAGAUCACCUGUACCCAAGAGAAACCAGCCCUCCCCAUUCCGGCGUCCCUGCCCUGUCCUCAGAGUCACGACAUGGCCGCAACAGUCUGAUCUCACAGUCAUGAAACAGGCACUGUGCAACCGCUGUGGUUAGAAAAAAAGAGAGAGGGGCUGGAGAGAUGGCUCAGUGGUUAAGAGCACUGACUGCUCUUCCCAGAGGUCCUGAGUUCAAAUCCCAGCAACCACAUGGUGGCUCACAACCAUCUGUAAUGGGAUCCAGUGCCCUCUUCUGGUGUGUCUGAAGACAGCUACAGUGUACUCAUAUAAAUGAUAAAUAAAUAAAUCUUAAAAAAAAAAAAGAAAGAAAGAAAAAGAGAGAGAGAGAGAAAAGAAGAGAGAGAGAAAAAAGAAGAGAGAGAAAGAGAGAGAGAGAGAGAGAGAGAGAGAGAGAGAAAGGCAUCAUCAACUCUCAGGCCCACAGCCACCUAGGAGCCAGAUGGAGUCCAGAUAUCUCUGCCUUCUUUUGGAGUCUGUACUUUGGCUGAAGGCUCAGAGGUAAGUUAUUGUUCUAACACAGCAGGCCCUUGGAUUCCAGGAAGAACAGAACCUAGAAGGACAAUUCACUCCCCCAUAAAUGAGGAUAAUUACCCCAGAGGGUGAGGCCAUGUCCUGCACAAACUGCCCGAUUUAUCCCCUCUAGCGCAUGACAGGGAGAAGGACUGCUGGGGACCAGCACUCAGAUAUGGAUAGAAAUCAAGGAUAGCAACCCCCACAACCCCAGGAAGGCUUCGCUACGUGUACCCUCGCUCCAUCUUGCAUUUAAGCCUAAAGAUCAUCCAGUUCCCAGAGGAUGGACUCAGGGUCCCUGAAUCUCUUUGUCUUUAUAUGGUUUGGUUGCACUGAGUAAAUCCCUCUCUGCCUCUCACCAAGACUUGUUUCUCCUGUUGGUGUAUUAGUGGCCAACCCUUGCCUGUUGGGGUUGCUGGGACCCAGGCUUGUACCCUAAAGAUACCCCUAGCACCCUCUCAAUGUCUAAAGCAGUAGGAAGAAUUCUGUAUUGAAUACCCGUCUUCUCCGUGGGGAGAGGAGAACCCUUCAGAAAGUCUUCUUUUUAAGGUGCAUUUACUUUUUGUAUAUGAGCGUUCUGUCUGCGUGCCUGAAAGGGCCCCGUGAGCACUCCUGAUGUCCACAGAGUUUCAAAGAGGACACAGGAUCCCCUGGAACUGGGAUUAUCAAUGGCGUGGGUGCUGGAAGUCGCGAGUUCAAUUCCUAGCAACUACAUGGUGGCUCACAACCAUCUAUAAUGGGAUCUGAUGCUUUCUUCUGGUGUGUCUGAAGACAGUUAUAGUGCACUCACAUACAUAAAAAAAUCUUUAAAAAAAAGAAAGAAAGAAAGAAAGAAAGAAAGAAAAAGGAAAGAGUGCUCCAAACCUCCAGGUCAUCUUUCCUGCCCUCAAAGUUUCCCCCUCUUCCAUUUUUGUGGUCACAGCUGGGUGACAUAGCUGCUUCUGGAAUGAUCUCUGGUUCUGGGGUCCACAACUGGUGAUGGGUUCUUACCAAGAGAAGUGGCUGGCGUGUGGGGAGGUGAGUGGGAAUGCUAGCCACAGUCCCAUUUCAUGAGUACUUCCCUGGUGAAGAGGAGUCAUUUUAGGCCACUCCCAAGUCCCCGGACCCUCUGCCACACAGCCUGCUCGCUCACAUUCCAGGCCUGAAAUGACCAGUUUGAUGCCAGGGCGAUCGAGGGGGUGCUCAAGCUAACGACGAGGAAAGCAGAGAAAUCCGAAGACGCUUCAGUCUCUGCACGAACUGCGGCCUCUCCCAGAAGAAUCCUGACACAGAGUUCUUCCUCAGCUUUCUCUGGGCUUAUGAGUAGCUGAACACUGGUCCUGAGGAGAUGACUCACUGGGGACAGGUGUUUGUCACCGAGCCUGACCAAGCCGCAACAUCUGAGUUUGAUCACCAGAGCCCAGAAGACGAAUCGAAGACCAACUUCCUCUGCUUUCCAUAUGCAUGAUAUGGCGUUUCUGCAACCAUAUACAAAAUGCAUAAACAUACAAAAAAAGUAGUUAUUGGUUAACGGGCAGUAAGUUCUGAACCAUCUUAUCGUCCUGGGGUUUGUUUCCGUAAGACUCAUUUAUUUAGUUGUGUGCAUAGGCGUGCCUGAGAGUGUGCAUGCCUUUCCGCUUGCUGCCUGUGUGCAGGUGCCCACGGAGGGAGACAAGCUCAGGUCCCCUUGAGCUGGAGUCAGAAGUGGUUGGAAGCCAGCGUAUGGUGCUGAGAACCAAACCCAAGAGAGCAGUGAGCACUCCUAACCCCUGAGCCACCUCUGCAAGGACAACUGCUCCUUCUCUUCUUUAUGCAGAGAGGGAAGAGAAAUGGACAGAAUGUACUCUGGUCUCAUCCCUUGCUUCCAAAGCGGGUCAGUUUCUCAUAGCCUCUACCACCCACCAACCACAGUGGGAGAAACGACCCCUCCAGCGGAGAAGGGGACUGCGGGAGGGAGUGUCUAGUUCUUAGUUCUUUGCAUCUUUUUGGCUGUUACAUUUUUUUUUUUUUUUAAAGACAAGGUCAUGUAACCCAGGAUAGCCCAGAACUCAAGAUCCUCUUACCUCUCAGGCGUCUAAGGACUAGAAUUCCUGGCAUGCACCUAGCUGGAUCUCAAUACCUUGGAGAAAGUUUUCCCUCUGGCUACUUCCUUCUACUUAAUUGAAGAAGAGAUUUUGAUAACAGACGGAGACGGAGGGUGGGAUUGAAGAUGGCAUUUGCUAUAAAGCCAAGCAUCACGCCAAGCACUUUUCUU